CCAGUUGGCCGGGCAGCCGCGCGUCAUCAAUGCCGAAAGGCGAUGGCGUGAGGAAAGUCCGGGCUCCACGGAAACACGGUGCCGGAUAACGUCCGGCGGGGGCGACCCUAGGGAAAGUGCCACAGAAAGCAAACCGCCCUCUUUCAGAGGGUAAGGGUGAAAGGGUGGGGUAAGAGCCCACCGCGACCCUGGCAACAGGGGCGGCACGGUAAACCCCACCGGGAGCAAGACCGAAUAGGGAUGACGCGGCGGGGCAACCCGUCAGCCUGUUUCCGGGCCAGUCAUCCGGGUGGGUUGCGCGAGGCGGCAUGCAAAUGCCGUCCCAGAUGAAUGGCUGCCACGUUCCGGUUCGCCGGAGCCAUACAGAACCCGGCUUACAGGCCAACUGGCGAA
rnacentral:RNase_P_RNA from 1 species